UAACUCACUGACAAACUGUGAUGUGUGCAUUGCAUUGCGAUGGGUUACAUCACUGGUCAUAGCAUGAUGUAACCCAACGCAGCAUGGUGUAAGCAUCGUAAUACAUUGGAGAUUUAAA
rnacentral:precursor_RNA from 11 species